GUCCCCAUCGUCUAGAGGCCUAGGACAUCGCUCUUUCACGGCGGUAACCGGGGUUCGAAUCCCCGUGGGGACGCCC
rnacentral:tRNA from 1 species